GGGGGCGAUUUGGUAUCGACCGGGUCACACGAGGUAUAGGUUGCGUGCUGUGGUUGAUCGAUUGGCCACGUAAAAAGUCGAUCAAAUGAUAACUGCCGAAACGCAGUUCUCUCUGGCUGCCUAAUUUAGGCUGCCCUGCGACCGGAUCCUUUGUCUGAGAGGAACCGCGAGCAGUCAUCAAAUCAGGCUCGUCGUUGCCGGUUCCGGGGGAGGCGACGGCUAAACACCACUCCUGGAUGGCGGCCCGGCCCCUGUCCGUUGGGUAACCGGGCGGCGAGAUAAAAAAGGCGGAAUACGCACGUAGACGCUUAUAUCGAGGUACCACGGGACCGGGGUUCGAUUCCCCGCGCCUCCACUC
rnacentral:tmRNA from 1 species